rnacentral:rRNA from 1 species
GACGAACGCUGGCGGCGUGCUUAACACAUGCAAGUCGAACGGAAAGGCCCUGCUUUUGUGGGGUGCUCGAGUGGCGAACGGGUGAGUAACACGUGAGUAACCUGCCCUUGACUUUGGGAUAACUUCAGGAAACUGGGGCUAAUACCGGAUAUGAGCUCCUGCUGCAUGGUGGGGGUUGGAAAGUUUCGGCGGUUGGGGAUGGACUCGCGGCUUAUCAGCUUGUUGGUGGGGUAGUGGCUUACCAAGGCUUUGACGGGUAGCCGGCCUGAGAGGGUGACCGGCCUCAUUGGGACUGAGAUACGGCCCAGACUCCUACGGGAGGCAGCAGUGGGGAAUAUUGCACAAUGGGCGGAAGCCUGAUGCAGCAACGCCGCGUGCGGGAUGACGGCCUUCGGGUUGUAAACCGCUUUCGCCUGUGACGAAGCGUGAGUGACGGUAAUGGGUAAAGAAGCACCGGCUAACUACGUG